UGGCCAGCCACUAUAAAAGGGUCCCUUAGCAGAAAAUGGGCGAGCUUUCUCCCCAUUUCCGGCCAAGGUGAGCUCUCUGCCGCCCCUCACCGAUCUUGAGUUCUUUCCUUCCCAUAUUACUCGAUUUUCAUGAGUUUUUAACUUGUUUUGAAGAUUUUCAAGCUUUGAGCAAAGUUUUGGAGCUUUGAGGUUCAAGAACUCAAAACCUCCCACCUCCGAGUUUAGGACGUCUCUCCCUCGAUCUUCA
rnacentral:lncRNA from 1 species